rnacentral:rRNA from 1 species
GUGGGGAAUAUUGGACAAUGGGGGGAACCCUGAUCCAGCCAUGCCGCGUGUGUGAAGAAGGCCUUUUGGUUGUAAAGCACUUUAAGCGAGGAGGAGGCUACCGAGAUUAAUACUCUUGGAUAGUGGACGUUACUCGCAGAAUAAGCACCGGCUAACUCUGUGCCAGCAGCCGCGGUAUACAGAGGGUGCAAGCGUUAAUCGGAUUUACUGGGCGUAAAGCGCGCGUAGGUGGCCAAUUAAGUCAAAUGUGAAAUCCCCGAGCUUAACUUGGGAAUUGCAUUCGAUACUGGUUGGCUAGAGUAUGGGAGAGGAUGGUAGAAUUCCAGGUGUAGCGGUGAAAUGCGUAGAGAUCUGGAGGAAUACCGAUGGCGAAGGCAGCCAUCUGGCCUAAUACUGACACUGAGGUGCGAAAGCAUGGGGAGCAAACAGGAUUAGAUACCCUUGUAGUCC